UACGUAGGGUGCAAGCGUUGUCCGGAAUUAUUGGGCGUAAAGAGCUCGUAGGCGGUUUGUCGCGUCUGCUGUGAAAACUCGGGGCUUAACCCCGGGCCUGCAGUGGGUACGGGCAGACUAGAGUGCGGUAGGGGAGACUGGAAUUCCUGGUGUAGCGGUGAAAUGCGCAGAUAUCAGGAGGAACACCGGUGGCGAAGGCGGGUCUCCGGGCAGUAACUGACGCUGAGGAGCGAAAGCGUGGGGAGCGAACAGG
rnacentral:rRNA from 1 species